rnacentral:rRNA from 1 species
UACGUAGGGGGCAAGCGUUGUCCGGAAUUAUUGGGCGUAAAGAGCUCGUAGGCGGUCUGUCGCGUCUGCUGUGAAAACUCAGGGCUUAACCCUGAGCUUGCAGUGGGUACGGGCAGACUAGAGUGCGGUAGGGGAGACUGGAAUUCCUGGUGUAGCGGUGAAAUGCGCAGAUAUCAGGAAGAACACCCGUGGCGAAGGCGGUUCUCUGGGACGGUACUGACGCUGAGACGCGAAAGCGUGGGGAGCGAACAGG